UACUCUUCACGACCCAAUAGGUCCCCAAAGCGCUCGAGUGACUGGAUAUUUAGCAUACCUUGCUGCCCUACCAUAUCGUCGUCAUUUGUUUUACAAUAACUGCUACUUAUGGAAGGUCAAUAUUUCUAAUUACAGUCCUUUAGAUGUUGAUUUUAUUGGUUACAUCUUUAUUAAUCCCAGUGACGGCGUGACAUAACUGAUUUGGAGGGGAGGGAUACUUGCGCUAGAUUCUUGCUGCUUGCUGCCCAGAGAUUGUAUAUUAGGUUCCAAUUUUCUUAACUUCAGUCUCAAGUCUCCACGUUGUGUCAUAUACAGCCGAUUUUUUCGUUUACCAGUAAGUCAUUUACUGCACUAAAUCUACAUUCAGCUAAAUAUGAAGAUGAACUGGUAGGAAUAGCUUUCUUGUACAUUUGGUUGAAUUUGGGUGUUUGACUUCUAUUUCCUUAGAAAGCCAUGCCAUCGCCCCUUUUAUAUUAAAUAAAGUUUUUCACUGACUCAUUAUUUCUCAUUUCUACGACUUAUUCUUGAUACUGCAUAUUUUAUAUAUCAAACAAAUUCGAUUACAUUGGCUGCAUUAUCUAUGUUGGAAAAUAUAGUUGUUUUAAAAAAA
rnacentral:lncRNA from 1 species